rfam:Trichomonas vaginalis G3, whole genome shotgun sequence.
GUAGUCUGCCAUACGCAGGAAGACCCGCUGAACUGAAGCAUCUCAUUAAGCGGAGGAAAAGAAACUAACUAGGAUUCCCUUAGUAAAGGCGAUCGAAAAGGGAACAGCCCAACGUCUUAAUCCCGCAAGGGAAAUGUAGUCGGUUCACCUAUUGCACUGGUCUAAGUCAGAUGGAAUGCUGCGCGAUUCAGAGUAAAAGCCUCGUAUGACCAACCGCAAGCUUACGAUGGACCGGGGAGAGUCGGAUACUUUGAGAGUAGUGUCUUAAGGGGGUGGUAUGUCCCAUCCAAGGCUAAAUAACGUGAGGAGACCGAUAGAUUACAAGUAGUGUGAACGAAAGAUGAAAAGAACUCUAAAACAGAGGGUGAAAAGUUCCUGAACUUGCUUAGGGUUAAGGCUAUUUAUAGUACCCGUCUUGAAACACGGAUUAGGGAGUUUAUCUGUAGUGCGAGUCUUUGCACGUUAACUGUAAAGGCGUAGAGAAAGCAACUGGCGUUUGCAUGGCUACUGAGCAUUACUGAUAGGACCCGAAAGGUGGUGAACUUUGCCUGCACAGGUUGAAGUCAGGGGAAACUCUGAUGGAGGACCGUACGGGUUAUUGAUGUGCAAAUCAUUUUUCUGAUGUAGGGUAAAGGUGCGAAAGACUCAUCGAACCACCUAAUAGCUGGUUUCCUCCGAAGUUUCCCUCAGAUAGCUGUAAUGCAUUUA